UCUCUUCUGCUCGAAAAUGCCUUUUUGAUAAAGUUGCAUCCAUGUGAGAUGGCUGCAAAUCACAACUGAUCUCUCCAUCCCCAAUGGCGGGGGAUGGGAGAAGGAAAGGAAAUCUGGUCUGGGUGAGAGCCUCCUGCUCUGCCCUUCUCUCAAGGGAUCAGGGACAACAGGCUGGGCCACAGGGAGAACAGGACAGAGAAAAUGAGCAGAGCUGCUCGGGCCUGCAAACUUUGCUGGAACCUCAUCGAGGGACAAAGGAACUGGUUUUUUAAAACCCAAACCAGCAUGGAGUCGGCUUCCCCUGCCUGGCCUUUGGAAUCUGUGGGUGGACCCGAGCGGAAAAGACCCAGUGAGCGUGCUAAAGGCUCCUUCCUCUAGGAGUGAGGGGCUAGGCCGGGAACACCGCCUUCUCGGUCAUCGGGGGACCUGAGUCGGUGAUGUCAUCUCUCUGUCAUUUUGCGAGCUGCCUCCUCCCCAUCCCUCCCUCCUUGGGAAGCUGGUCCAUGAGAAGUCCUGUGAAAUCCAUCUGGCCUUGAAGAGCCGGGGCCCAAGCGUCUGUGGAUCAAGGAGAGAGAAUACAUUUUGCUUUAAGGCUUGUGGUCCCGUGGUAAGCGGACUGGAUUUGAAGUCACCAGGGCUGAGUUUACAUCCCAGUUUUGUGAAUUUCUACCCCGGUUCUAUGAGUAACCCUCCAUCCCUCUGGACCUCAUUUCGCUCUUGUCGACACCAAAGGGGGUGGAUCGGAUGACCCCUGAGGUCCUCUUCACCUCUGUCAACUCUAAUUGGUGUCGAGCUUCCCCUUGACCUACCUGCUGGUUCACAAUCCCCCCCCCCCUUUUUUUUCCAGAGUACAUGUUUUCACCCUGCCAGAAUGACUGUGAGAAAAACAAAAAUGGCAGAGUUAUAGAGGGCUGGACUCGUCGGAUCCCGCAAUUACCAGCUGUGUGACCUUGAGUGGGAUCAAAUGCAAUUACAUAUAGAAAUCACUGUAAAUAUAUCAGCCAUUUAAAAAAAAAUCGGCAUAGACAAUUCCAAGAGAACAUUUAAAAGACUCCCGACUCCUCCUCAAGAACGCAGGCUAGCAAGAAAAUCUCCAGGAAAAAAUAAAAGAGAAAGAGGAAGGAUUGCGUUAGUUUUUCUAAUUUUUUCUUCCAAGAAAAUAAACUUUUAAAACUUG